rnacentral:ncRNA from 1 species
GAAAGCCGUGUGCGGGAAAAUCGCAUGCACGGUUUGACGAGGGGCAGGUGAUAAGUAUAUGGCGGAGAUAUGGUGGCACUGGCGGGAAACCAGCCAGCAAACAGAGAAAACAAACUUCUGCCUAAGUUCUCGUCGUCUGUUUCUACUCUAC